ensembl:lncRNA
AGACAGCAAGCCAAGUGGGCAGAUGGGGACUUCUGUCCUCUACAAGCAGAAACCAACCACUACUGUCCCUUGCUACUUCCUCUUCUUGCUGAUGCGUGGUUCACGCGUGGCAUCAUGCUCUGAUACCUCCCCAGAUACAGCUUUCUGCCUCUCCUGCUACCAGGGCACCGUACCUAUUCUGAAACUGUGGACCUGUAGGUGGAGAAGGAACUGCUGUCCAUGUGCCAGAAGUCAUGUUAGAUUACUGGAGGAGGCUCUAAAUAGCUCACAGGGUCUGCAACAUCUAGGCACAACAAGAAAAAGGGAAAUAAUCAUUAUUUUCAUCUCAUAAUUUCUAAUCACUAUUGCAUUCAGCAUCACACCAGCUUGGAAGAGCCUGGGGAACCUCAUGGAUAACAUGCUGAGUCAGCAGUGCUCCCCGAUGGAGAAGAUGAAAGCAUACUGAAGACGCAUAAGCAAGAGUGUAACAAAGCAGGUGGAGAGAGGUGGCUUCCCCUCCUCUUCUUAACACUGCUGAAAUUGCAUCUACCAUGUUGUGCCUUGUUUUGUGAUUCUGCUAGGAAAAAAAAACAUUGGCAUCAGUAGAUAAUGACUGAAAUGGUUAGAGGGUUGCAGCACAUCACAUGCAAGGAGCUGCUCAGCAAACUACUUUCUGCAGUCUUCAGAAGAGAAGGGUAAGGGAAGGAUCUUGUUGCAUUUCCAUUUACUGAAAGGAAGGGUUUAGAAAAGAUGGAGCCAAGAUGCUUCUAGAGGUACAGCGUGACUGGAUGAGAGGCAAUGACAGAAGUUGCAAUGUGUGAAAUUCUAAUUAGUUGUUUGUAAAAAACAAACAAUGAAUGAAUGAGAUUGCUGAGAGACUUCACUGCAUUGUACACUUCAGGAAUACUGAAAGCUCAAUUGGCCAAGGCCCUGAAUAACUUUAUCUGAGUUGGCCCUGCUUUGAGAUGGAGUUUGGACCAAAUGGUGAUCAUAAGUCCCUUCCAACACACACAAUCCCAUGUUCCUGCAUGGUUACAUUGCCUGCAGAAUAAAACAAAAUCCUUCCUCACUUCACAUGAGGACAAACUAUUUAGAGACAGAUUGUUUUAAGUGGUAGGUAAAACUCGUCAGGAUAUGUAAAGCAGUGAAAUUGCACCGAAUGUUCCUGAGUUCUCUGUAGGUCAUGCACAAAUAUUCUAAGUAGAUAAAUAUUGUUGUGGAAAGGUAACAGUGUGAUAUGGCAUACAUUCCCAUUUAAAGAUUGUGUUUAAGCCCUAUGUGUACUUGCAGUUAUUUUUGGACAUUCAAGGUUUAAAUAUAUGGGCAUAGUUGUGUUUAAUCUGCUUUUGAAUAUAAUUUUUAAUGUAAGUUAUUGCAGUAAUUCUGGAUUGUGAUAGCUCAGAAAAUUCUUUCAGAUUUCAUAAUGCACAGAAACCUAAUCCUCAAUUUAGCCUCAAGCUCAGAAACAAUAACAUGCACAUUUUUAUUGUAAUUGUUCUUCCAUAAUUUAUAAUGAAUGUAAUUGAACUGAGACUCUCAUAAUAAUGUGAACAGAUGUCUUGACUUGUAAUAUGUUGUUCUAUAUUAGAUGCUUUUUUUAUAAUCAUUGAAAUGUGCCUGUAUUGUGUAUCUCCUUCCCUUGAACUAUGAAAUGCUUUAGAAGUGCAGAAGCAGUGUGAAUUCAUCAGCUCUAUUCAAGAUAAAACAGCCAAAACAACAAGCGUUAACAUUGUCCACUGGGUACUUUCCAUCGAUAACUUUUGUCUUGACAAAGAUCAAUUGUCUGUCCUAGAAGCUUUAGUGGAAAGAAUUAGAUCAAGUCAUUUAAAUUUUUUAGUAAGAAUUGAACAUUUACUGUUAAGUGAACUCAAUUUUAGGAGUAUCAAGGAGGGGAACACUUUAUUAUAGGUGAUGUUGGCUGAAAGAGACUGGAAAACAAAUACUAAUUGAACUUUCCGAGUGACAGGUCCACUGAGAUAUUCUGUGUCCAGUAGAAGGAGAUCUCUGAAUGGGGAUUGUCCCAAGAGUAACACUGCGUCUGUGCUCAGUAGUUGUCAGUAGCACUCUACAGACCAACUCACCCUUCAUGACUAUGGGACAUCGCAUCAUGCUGUUCCAGUGCAUUUGUCUAAUUCUUCUGCCUUGAAAUCCAUUAGGAGAGAAUGGAAUUACUGACACUUACUGAGCUGCUGCCAGAAGGAAAGUAGUAAAACUAUUAUUAGGAUUUUCACAGGGAAACCCUUGGGAGAUUGUUUUCAGCGAGAUAAGAAGUUCAAUUUAAUUACUGAAAUAAUUUGUCUGAAACAUGUUAUUAUCUGCAGCACAGCAGAACCGGGUAAAUACUUAUCUCUUGCUGUGGCAGCUCAGUGAAUCAGAACGGUCAAGCUCCCCUGCACUCCAUUGAUGAGCACAAUGUGUGUCCCCAAAGUUGUCACUGCAAAUCAGCAUUGAAGAGAAUGUGGCAACUGCCCCAUGUGGUCACGCCACCGGAAACACUGACAAGAAAAGAAAGAAAAGGGGCUGGCCCCAAGAGAACACACUGUAUGUUCAUGUGGAAUGCCUUUGGGAGAGCUCUGGACAGGCACAGCUCGUACCUUGAGUGACAGACUCUGCCUCACCUUGUUUCACUUUAACCUAACAUAGUAAGAGCGCUUCCAGAUGUGGAGUCCUCAGUACAGGAGAGACAUAGACCUGUUGGAGCGUGUCCAGAAGAGGGCCACAAAAGUGGCAUCAUAAGGAAGAAGCAUCUUUAGUAGUGCUGCCCUAGAACUGGCAGAAGUACUCAGCAGUACAUUAUGCCCAGAGUACAAGCUCGAAUAAUAUUAAUGCAUUGCAAACUGAAGACAAUACAUAACUUCUAGGAUAACUUAGCCCCUCUCCCCCUUCUCCCUUAUCAUUUUUAUCUUUUCCUUUUGCUUUCAUUUCCAAUUCUUCGUGCUAGUCUGUUAGUUGUACUUUUUUUUAAUUAUUAUUUUUUACCUCUACAGACUCUCUUUCCUUUUCACAUUUUCCCUUUUGGGAAGUUGGGGGAGGCUGGUACUUGGUGUUAGAAAUAAGGGAAAAGGCCAGUAAGGGCAGUGGCAGACAGCAGAUGCUUGAAGAAUAAUCUGAGAGCCAGGCACCAAGUUAAAAUUGCCUAUUCAAAGUUGUUUUGAAAGGAUGCUACCUAACAAAGUAGAGCAAAAAAAAUUAUGAGUUACUGUGCUUCUCACAACUGCCAUUCACACUUUCUAAGAUACCACUAAACAUUUUCCCCUGAGCUCCACUAGAAGUGGUGCUGAGCAGGUGAGCGUUUGUCUGAUGAAAUACUGAAAACAUACGAAAGAAAAUGAGGUUGUUUUAGGUAUUCUGCCUCUCAUCUGCUACAGUGUGAGCUGUGAUGUGCUCUCAUGAACGACUGUACCCUAUAAAUUGCUCUUAUCAAUUUUAUCACUAUAUUAAAUUUUUGGACUCAUAUCUUUAGAUGUAUUUUUAAGGAAUGCUGCCUUAUAAGCAUGGAACUCUCACAUCAGUAAGUCAGACUGCCUAAGCUUUCAUUUCUAAACUAGCGUAUAGCAACAUGAGCCUCUGGAAUGGGCUGUCAAGACUGCAACAAGCAUUCUGUACUAUGUAAGAUCUUUUGUAGGUUCUUUGGCCCUACUGGGAAGCCAUAAACAGUGCCUGUUUCACAGAGCCCAGAAAACAGAGCACUGUGAAGUUCAAAAUAUGAAGAAGAAAUACUGCCAACUCCAAUAGCUCUCCUGGGGUCAUAUAGUUUUGGGCUGGAGCUGAUACCAGCUUUGUGUGGACAAAUUCAGUCUUUUCACAAAACCUUUUACUGGCCAUUACUUUAUUCAUGGUAUAAAGACUAACCAAGCUAUUUUGUUUUAAGCCAUAUAUUUAAAUCUUCAUGAGACAGGGGAGGGCUUGGAAGGGGGAAAGUGGGGAGAACUAAUGGCUGAGUUAGGAGUCUUUCACAGCUGUACAGCAGCAGUGGUUUGCAGUGCAUGGCAAUACCACAAAUAUUAAGUGCUUAAGCAGUGGUGCUGAAUCAAAUGGUGAAUACAUUCUAAAGAAAUACAAAUGACAACUGUUUAUACGCUUUAUUUUCCAAAUACAUAAAAGUAAAUAAUUUGAAACAUGUAUUUGAUUUACAUCUUGUAUUCCUACCUUUUGUUUCUUACUGCCUGCUUUUGUGUUGUCAUUUCCCACAGUGCUCAUCUAAGACUCUGAAAGGUAAAAACUGUUUUAUUAUAUGUAUGAUGGCAAAGUUGUCCUUUGCAUGAAGAACUGGAGGGGGAAGCCUGUGUACAGUCUUCCCCUACCUAGGGACAAGUCGUAGUGUAUGGAUAUGGACUCUUCUCAAAGUGCAGAUAGAAAAACAAUCAAUCACAAACUACAGCAGAGGAAGUUUGAGUGGACACAGGAAGAAAGUCUUCACAGGGAGUCCAAAUAAGUCUGGUAUGAGAUUGUCCAGAGAGGAGGUACAGUCUUCAUCCUUAGAUGAACAACACAGUGUGUGACAACUGCUCAGAAAUUAAUGCCUCCUAUUUAAUGAUAUUGGCCCAUAACAACAGAGGCAGAUGUUGGUGGUAUGGCAGUAGAGGUUGAACCUUCCCAUCAGUAUUCCUUUACAUAUUGUUGCUGCGUGACAGACGGCCACAGAGGGGCAGUCUGACAGAAUGGUGUCUGACAUGAAAAUGCAGAUGAAGCGAAGGUGUGGGACUGAAUUAUUCCAUGCUGAAAUAAUGGCACCCACUGACAUUCACUGAUUCUUGCUAAACGUUUCUGGAGACCAAAGAGUGGAUGUGAGCACAGUGAGGUGGUGGGUGGUGUGUUUCACUGGUGGUGACAGCAGCAUUAAAGACAAGCCAUGUUCCAGAUGUCAUGCACAGCUGUCACACCACAAAAUGAAAUGUGUCUCGAUCAGCUCAUCCAUGUGAAUCAGCUAAUGGUGGUGACUAUAUUGAAAAAACAGUGUUUUGUAGCUGAGAAUUUGCUCUAUCAAGUAGUGUGCUUGUGCUCUUUGUGGUUGUUGUCGUUUCCAAGGGAAUGAAUAGGAGGCAUUACUUCUGGAGAAACCUAUAUAGCUUUGAAGUUAGCCCUGCUUGGAGGUUUCUUCCAAUACCAAGUUUUGCAAAACACUGUGCAGCACUCCUUAAUACAAGAACAAGAAGAGCAAGCUAAAUUGAUUUUGCAAAGGUAUCUUCCCCUCUCAGCAAUGCAAAGCCUGAAACAGAUCAGGGAAUAGUAUCAAACUGGAAAGCGUGCAGUGUGAUAUGUUUCCUCUGGCAGAUGAAGAGGUACUACGUUGUGCACCAGGAAAAAAAUAGGCCCUCUUAAAAUGAUUCUUACACAGCACAACACUCCAUGUGAUAUUUAGCUUAGCUAUUCUUGUUACCAGGUGGUAAGACUUGAAGGUGAAGAAGUUAAAAUAAUUUAACAACUGAAAAGAUAAAUGACAAAAUCAAAGAAUAACAGCCCUUACGUUUUAUUUAAAAGCCAUGGCUUUAUUCUACAAUAGGUUCAAGAAGAUUAACACCACAAAAAGAGAAACAAAAAUAAGGAUAACAAAGAUGUAAUUAAAAAAAAAUAAAUUGAAUUUUGACUGUAGUGUAGAAACCAUUUCUAAUAGUGAGAUACAGGAGAAGGAGAAUAAGAAUAAGAAUAAGAAUAAGAAUAAGAAUAAGAAUAAGAAUCCUACUGGUUAACAUAUUUAGUUGUACAUCUCACAGAAUAUGAGUAACUACAACACCAGAGAUGUCUCUUUAGUUAUUGUCAUUGGAAGGGGUAUAGAGUGAUUUAACUCCUUUCUUGCACUAGAUUCGAUUAGCCAAACUAUUUUUUAGUGCAAUCCUUCCAAGCAAUGUAUUGCUUCAUUCUCAGUAUCCCAUAUCCUUUUACAGAGGUUUGUGCAGACUCUUCUGCAUCUGCAAAAACGACAGAAUUACUUUUUAGGAAGAAAAAUGCCUGAGCUUAGUAACACUCAAAGAGUGAAAUAAAUGCUUUAUAAUAUAAUAUUAAUAAAAAAGAGAAAUAUAAUCUGAUAUUUCUGUGUUCAUCAAUGAAUGAUGAAAGCCCUAAAUAGGGGAAGGGUGACUGAUGAUAGAGUCAUGCAUCGUAUUCAGAGAAGUUACUAUAUACCUGUUAAAGUUGGACAACCAUGACCAUAAGCAUCUGUCAGAAAUAUUUAGGCAUGCUAUGAUUAAAAAAAAAACAAACAAACUGAUUUAUAUUUUCUUUAGCAAUGAUAUUAUCUGGUUUAUCCACUCCCAGUAUUUUUGGAACAUGUGGGUAACAGUCCAUAUAUUUUUAUCAUUUGCAGUGCUGGUGUAUUAGAUAAAGCUAUACUGCGCCUUUUUUUCCCCUCUCAUCAGCUUGGAAGUUAUCUCUUAUCUAAAACAGUCCAAAGUUUUUAACCUCCAACCAACUACCCUAAGCUUUACUGGGAGCUGGAUGUACAUUUCUCAGCAUCCAAACACAUGGACAGGUUAUACAUUUCUGACGGUAUCCCUCAUUACAUAAACAGAUGGAAAAUACUGCACGCUUUUAAGGGUUAUCGAUAAAUCUAAUCUAUACUAUAUAUAUUGCUAAUGUCAGAAUGCACGCUAUCUUGACUAGCUGUUAUCCUGUGGGAAUAAAGAAAAAUGUGUUUUUGCCAUGCACAGAUAAUUUGCUUCUUACUUAUUUCAAAUGUUUUGGUCUUCCUGGCUCCCCAAGAGUCCGUGCUUCCUUAACAGAGCUAUUGCAUUCAUUUGUCCAACUUCUGGUAAAGCAAAAAAAAUAACCACUGAACAAUUCCUUUUCUAACACAUAGACUAUAACACAAACAAGCAAGGACACCAUCAGUCUAGAAAUAUUUCCUGACAAGAAUGUUAAGUAAUGCAGUCUUAGUGUAUGAAUGAUGUUCCAAUGCAUGUGCACAUAUCUGAGUGUGAUAUGAAUCUCCACAGGUUUAUCUUAGGAAUCUGCUUUGGAGAGUUUCACAGAAUGGAAAUUCAAGCGCUCACACGGGUAGAAAUUCAUAUUAAGGCCAUAAUCUAAUUCAGCCAUUAGGAUAUUGCUUUAGCUGUAACAGCAUUAAUAUCCUCUACCACUAUUAAAUUAACACAAAAAGCAAGCUAAAUGAAAACAUAAUUAACAUCAACACAGUCGAGGCCCAGCCCCCAUUGCUGAAUUAUCAAGAUCAGCUGUACUCCAUUGAUUAUAACCAUUAAUCACAGUCUGGCAUGUUUUUAUUUGGUUUUCUCAGAAUGAUGUCCUUUUAAUCUCAUUAAUUUUUAUUCUGGGUAUGUUUCUGCUGGCUUGGUUAUAGAGUUCCUAACUUAAAUGUUAGAGCAAUUUUAUAUCCCUCAGUUGGGUUCAUGGUACAAUUUCUCACUGAUAUUCCCUAUGGAAAGCUGAACACAACACAGAGAUAAUAAAAUGGUGAUACGUAGUUUCUCUCCUGUUGUGUCAUUUUUUUUUCUAUAUCUUUUCUGUAUCCUUGUCACUUAUUGUUUCUGUUGGUUCUUUGUCUGCCUUCCAUCUUCUGAAGCAUUCAAAAAGGAGUGAAUACUAGUUUUGAUAUCUUCUAAAAGUUAAUACUCAUACCUGGUUUGGAGAGUCUUUGGAUGCUUUUUACACUUAGUCUGCUAGCAUUCAUUGUCUUCCUUAUUUUCCUUGUUUCUGAAAGAUCACAGGUGAUCCCUGAUUUUACCUUUUUUGCCUUUGCGCUGCUCUUCAGCCCUGCUACCUUCUUUCUGACCUUUCUGAAGUUUUUUCCAGUAAGCAUGAAUUCUGAAUUUCUAGUGUGAUGUUCAGGACGCUCCCCAUACUGCCUGCAAUUAUGGCUUAUUUAACUGAUAGCCUCUUUUGAAAGAGUCAUAGACUCAAAGAAGGAUUUAGGUUGGAAGUCCAUCCAUACUGUCACCAGCUCCAAGAGCUAACUACAAAGCUAGAUCAGGUUGGCGAAGGCUUUGUCCAGGACAGUUUUAAAAACCUCCAAGGACAGUUAUCUUGCCACCUCUCUGGGCAGUUGUUAAGCCUUCUUUUAGCAAAUAUUUCUUUCCAUAUGUCCAAUCAAAGUUUCUCCUACAACUGUUUUUAAUUGUCCUUUUGCUGUACUCUGAGGAGUUCUCUUCUGCUGAUAGCAUCUCUCUUGAAACGGAAUGGAUGUAUUGGAUUUCUUUGUUGUUUCCGCACUCUGCAAAUGCUGCAAUCACUUUGAAGAAUGACUCUUCAACAGUAAUAUUCUGAAUCAGGUCCUCAUGCACUGACUAGAAUCAGGCCAACAGAUGUUGAUAGUGUCUAAGUAUUAGCCAUAUUCAUGGCAUUUAAGUAGACUAUAUUGUCUGUUGAGUUUCCUCAGGUUGCUGAUGACUCUUAUUGGACCUAGGUAAAGUGUUUAGUUUGAACACAACCAUCCCCCUUCUAACUAAGACAAGCACACAGCUCUUAUUGAAAAUUAUUGUCCUUUCACACACACAAAAGAAGGUAAUUCCUUAAAAACAACUAUUAUCCCCUUUCUUUUUACAAAUGCAAAUAUAUUUCGGUGGUAAAGGUGUCUCAGGACUCAAGGACAACGGACCAUAUUUUAAAUACCCAGAAAUAAAUAAGCUGGAUCAAUAUACUGCAACAGAUUGUUUUGCUCAUUAGAAGGUAAAAAUAAAAAGGAAACUUGUCAAUCUACCAAAAAUGUAGCCUUUCAAUAAGGAUAUAAUUGGAACACACUGUCAAAAACAACUUUGAAAUGAAAUUCACAGCAGCUGGUACUCAAUACACUUCAUGACAGGUCAUCAAAGAUAAAAAUUUAUCUCUCCAUGUUACUUCUUUCAUCUUUGUCAGAUAUUUCAAUAUGUCCAGGCUUUUGAAAGUCAUAUUAACUCUUUCCGGUUAGAAUAAAGCACCAAUUGUGUCUUUAUCUUAUUUAGAGUCUUUUCCUUUGCAGAAAGAACACAAAAGGUCUUCUUUAAGAGGAAUAUCUCAUUCUUGCAUUUGCUACUGUGAAUCACAAGCCUCUUCUAAACGAGCCCAUAUAGCUUUUACUAGUCCAUACAUUUGUUGUAGCUUUCUGCGAACAAAUUCUUUCUUUAGUAAUAGAUGACUUGCUUCCUUCACUAUAAAUACUAUGCAACAUUUAGUAAUAUUUUCUAGCAAUCAACAGAUUGUGAGCACCAUUUUAUGUGGGCAUACUUCUUAAAAAAAAAAACAAAACAAAACAACAACAUCCUGAAUAUAAGUCUAGAGACAUUUAGAAAGACAGAGGGUAACAUUAACAAUUAGAUCUGAUAAAGAUCUAUGAAAUUCUGCUCUGCAGCUCCCUGAUAAAAAGUAGCACCUCCUUCAUAAUACCCUCAGUCUAAAAGAGAAACAAACAGUUGUUAAUUUUCUGUGUGGAAAAGUCUCUUUGAUAUUUCCUAACACUCCAUAAAUCCAAAAUAAUCAUAUAAAAUGCCUCUGGUGACUAGUCUCCUCAUUUGAGAUAAUACAUAAUUUCAGAUAAAAUCAUGUCCAAAGGGUGGGUUUCUCUGCACUAUGCUGUAGCAGUAUUGAUCACAAAGAAUAGAGUGACCUCUAAAAGUGACUAAACAUCACCAAACCAUCACUAGAGAUUGCAUAAGCUGCAACUAGAGAGAAAGUAAGUACUGCCAUGCGUAGAAGGCCAGCUGUUUGGGAGGUUUUCAAAUGCCUUCUACGACUGAAGUUGUUGAAUAAUUAAAAUUUGCCUGCUAUGUAUUUGACCUGCUUUUCCUAUCAACACUCCAGUGUUUUGUAUGUCCCUCUCUACUUUGUGCUGCAUCAUCUUUAUUUAUCCACUUUGGCAUUUGAAAAAAAGCAUAGAGAGGCAGGGCUGAAAUACAUUGCAAGACUGAUUAAGCAUGAGAGCUGGCAACCGAGCUGGCUUGGCAGUUACGUCUGCUUGGAGAAGCUGACUAUACAAGACCUCCAGUCUUUUCCUCUUUGUGUGACCUUUAGAAAAUGCAGAAAAUGCUCUCAAGGAAUAAGCUUAGGCCAAGACUCCUAGCUUCUGUGAAAGAGAGAGAAGUAAUGGGUAGAGUACGGUUGAGAAAAAAAAUUGCAACUGCAUCCCUAUUCUAUAGUCAGGUUUGACAAAUUCAAACCUUCCAUCACACAUGCCCUCUCCCAGUAGGCCAAGGGAAUGCAAAAUGCAUUAUCUGAUGGUGCUUGCUAGUGGGAAAGGCCUGUGAAAUCGGUCUUUAAUUGACUCAGACAGGAGGGCAUAACCUCAAACUUUAAACAUGUAGACCUUCUGAAAACUGAAGUCCGUAUUGGUGAAUUGAGGUCUCACUUUUCUGACUUCUUUUAUGAUCAAUUCAGCCAAUCCACAGUACUUCAGGAGGUUUGAGGACAAUACAGUAAAUGUCGUGUUGUAAAAUCACCACUUGGAUUUGCUUGUCACAACUAAUUUCACUAAUAAAAUAUCCUAAAUUAACUUAUUUUAAUUAGGAUUUUAAUUAAUAAACAUUUAUAUUUCCUAAUAUAGAAUACUCAAGAGCUAAGCAAACCCUUUGUCCUUAUCUUACUGUGUUUUAAGAAUAAGACUACUAUGUUAUACAGUUCACCUACUAGUUGGGUAACAUUGUAUGCGAAAGUCUAUUUCAUCAGUUUUGCUGGUGAGAUUUACUCUUCAGAGAACAAGUACAUUUAAUUUUUGUUAGUUUCAGCCUAUAAAAUACGUACGCUGAAGAAUAAGAUAUCCUCUUCAUUUUUCCCCAUAAAUCCCUUUUCAGCUCUUCAUGGACUGUGAAUUACAUGCCUUACUUAAAUACAGAACCGUAUCCUUCUGACCUAAAAUCUCUGACCUGUGAGAUGAAGUGACAUUGUUUCUGCUUGAGGACGGGUUGGGCUAAUUGCUAAGUGAUUGCUGUGACACAGCUGGUACACGGUUUUGUUCCCAGGGUAACUCUCUCAUAAGAAGUGAUUCAGAAUCAAUCAUUUGUUUUAUAGAGAUACAGCAGGUGUUAUGUGCUGCACAUGGGGAAAAUAGACAUUUUUACUGUGAGGAUCAUCAUCUUAUUAAAAUAUCCUUUCAUUCCUCUUUGUGAUGUGGAAAGAACAUUGUCAGUGUUACAGCAGAAAGAAACGUAACGGUUUCAGUAUGAAGGAGACUUAGGAAUUUCUCCUUUGCUUAACAUGAAAUCUCUGGCAUUCACAUGAACCUAAAAAGCCAUAAUAAAACUGCAAAGAAAUACCAUUUUUCUCUUUUGCCAUCAAUAAAAUCAUACAGCCCUUCCCCACACCCAUGAGCACUGGCUUACAAUAAUAGGCAAAGAGCUACAUUAUAUUUACAACAUGCAGCAGAGACCACCUUAUUGUAUACGAAUGUUAGGCAGUUAGGACAGAGUUCAGCUCCCACUGAAGUUUACUGGACUUCUAAUCAGGGGAGAUGCAUUUGCACCUACAGAGCUGGAGUUCUUGCUGGAGAAAGCAAACAAUUACAUCCGCCUUUUUGUUCUUGAGACGACACCUACGAAUAGGAGACAGUGUUUGUUCCUUUUAUGUGGAUGAAGAAAGACUUUCAUUUCACAUGUGAAGAAGAAAAUAAACACAAACUCCAGCUUCGCGUUAUCGUGUAUCUGAAUAAUAAUAAUAAAUAAUAAAAAGGAUCUCCUUCAGUGCAUGAAGCUUCUGUAAGAAAGAAACAAACUCAUCAAGGAUGCAGGCUUUGAGUUGUGGCUCACUUUACAUCUGUGCACAACAUCUCUUGAUUUCUAUGAGGUUUUAUGCCAGAAUUCGGCUUAUUUCUCAGGAAAAAUGUAACAUUUUGGAGAUAGAAAAAAGAAGCAUUUCUGAAUUUUGCAAAAAUAAACUUCAUGAAGAUUCAGUUACUCUUCAAAUUAUUUUCUAAAUAUUUUUGAGAUAUGUAUUUUUGCUUACAAUACUUUUAAGAAAAAAAAAAUUCUUCCUUUAUAUUAAAUCAGGAAUUUUUAGCUGUGAAGAAAAUCUGUGAUUGAAUUUCAUGAAAUUGACUUUUUUUUUCAUACAGCUAGUUACUGUUUUAUCCAACCACAGACAGCAGUAGCAUAAGAUCAUAUGAGACAGAGAUGAUCCUGUCCGAUUCAUUUAAAGCUAUGGGAAAUCCCUUCCAGAUUUAUUGCCAUUUGACAGUUCAAAAAGUAAUGAUAAUGUCUAGAUGUUCCACUGCAGUCUUAUAUUUCUUAUCAUUUCAAUUACUUUCUUGACAUUACUCUUUUUCCUGGAGGGAAUGCCUUGGUUUCAUAGAGGCUCAUGUCAAGGAGUGUGUGGUGGGUAAGCCUCAGUUGGCAGCUCAACUCCAUCUGGCCUCUCACUUACCACCCCUCACAGUGGGACUGUGGAGAAAAUAGGAAGGAGAGGAAUGAGAAAGCUCAUGGGUGGAGAUAUGAGGCAGGGGGGUUGCUUACUAAUUGACUUUGUGGGCAAAACAGACUUAACUUGAGGAAAAUUAGCACACGUCUUAGCACACGUCUGAUUAAAAUAAAUAUGUGAUUACUGGUUUGGUAGUGAAAAAUAAAAAGGCAAAUAUUAAAAGAACUCCUUUCCUCCUCCCUUCCCUGACUCAUCUCCACUCUUUCAUCCCUGACUCCUCUUCUCUUCACUAAGCAGAGCAGGGGGUGAGUGUCCUCCCCUCCUUCUUCACCAACCUUGGUGCCUACAGAGCUAUUUCUCACACUUUUUUUCCUCACUCCUCUUUCUCACAGAAUGCUGUCCAGCAUUUCUGCCCUUUUUGGCUACAUUUCCCCCGAGGUGCCCCACUUGUUGUGGGCUCAACUUUGGGCAGUGAUAGGUCCUUGCAGAGGCCUCCCCUGCUGUCUCCCACCACCAACACCUUGCUACCCACCUGCAAUGCAGAAUGUGGCCUAUCUCUGCCAUGCAGUCAGAUCCCAUCAGGGCAGGAAUCCUACAGUAGAACAGGAUGAGAUGUGCUGUUACCCAAAGAUUGGUGUGGAGGAAAGGCAGAGUCUGGGGCAGAGCAGCACUGGUGCAGCUGCACAGACUGUAGAGGCUUCUGCCUACCCUCUGCCUCUCUUAGAAAAUACAACUUGUGGAAUGCUGGGCUUUAUUGAAACAGUCUAAAACAUAUCAUGUCAGAUGAGUAAGAUGACCCUCAGCCUGUUUUACAGAAUUUACUGGAUGUUUAGGCUCACUAAGAAGCUAAUAUUAAAAGCCUUGAUGUUACUGCCAGAACUUGAAGUCUGCAAUUCAGAGAUUUGAUUCCUUUGAUAACUAUCUCAAGUUAGAGGCUCUGUAGUUGUUAUUCUACUCUUGCAUUUCUUCUAUUUCCUUAUUUAGAAAAACAUCUUAUUAAAUCUUUUAUUUUUGUUCAUCAAAGUGAAGGUUCUGUAUAUAAAGGCAAACAAAAUUUUGCAUUUGAUGGCAUCAAAAGACUUCUGGAGAUGAAACAGUUUUCAAGAUUAGGCUUAGAAAAUGUAUUUUCAUGUCCAUUUACAAAACAACCAAAUUACGUAAAGAAAGCCUCCUUGAUAUCAGAUGGGACUUAGUCAUGGUUGGAGUUAAGGACUUCUAACAACCAAUAAUCAUUUAAGUCAAUAGAUUGAUUUGUACUGAUAUCAAUUAGCACAAUCUGAAGAUUGAUAACAGAAAAGUUUAUCAUCUCGAAACACCCAAGAAGACCAAAAUCACAACAGCUCACCCUGUCAGGGUCAUGGACAUGUCAGGGAAUGACAAGACACAGCCUCCAGCAAGCAGGAGGCCCAAUGUCUCAGGGAGAGCAAUGAGAUGCAAUGUACUCCUACACAGUCUGCUUUUAGGCCUCUGGCCAUAACUGCCCACAAUGUAUAAGGAGGCUCAAUUCACACGCGUUUGAGGGUUAAAUCUCAAGCUGUUACUUGUCAAAGAAAAUUCAGAGCUUUUAAAAUACUGAUUCUCAGCAACAUGAAAAAGCUCACACAUAACCUUCACAGCAAACAAACCCCAGACAACAGUUCUGCUGAGUGAAGUUCUCUAUACUUACCGCUGCUGUUUAGUUUAACUGUUUGAGCUCUAAAUAUUAAACAGAAUUAUUGUGAAGUACUACUCAUCAGUAAUACUAAGUAUUAAUAGCUAGCCUAUUAUUGAAAUGAAUUAGUCUGUACAUGUAAAAGUGCAUUGAUUUUGUAAUUAAAAUCUUUCUGUAGUUACUUAUCUUUCUAUAAGACUCCUGCAUUUCUGUUAUUCUAUUGACAAAGACAUUAUCACUUACUGCAAAAGUUCUGGGCUUUUGCAAGUAGCCUUCAUUAAAACAAAAGAUUAAAGAUUUUCAUCCAUUCCAGAUGAAUUUAUCUAUUUGAUUCUUUUUUUCAUCUCAGUCUUGCUUCAGUCACUUAAAGACUGUCUUGUGUUAGAAUUAAAUCUUUACAUUUUUGAUGUGCUGAAGAGAUCAAAAGAUGCAUUGUAUUUAACCUCUAAAUUACAGCAUUAAUACAGGCAAAUCAAAGAGAGAGGUGAAAUAAAAUUCAGUAUAGAAAGGGGCUUCUGAUAUAUGUCUACGGAAAAAGUAAACAUUUGUAACUGACAAGGAAGAGCUGGAUGAGUUUUACCCUGCUUGCUCUUACAGGGUUUCUAAAGUUAAGAUUAAGCCUCUGAUUCUGCAAAACACCUCUGUAAUUUAAGUGUAUCAGUAAUCAAAUUAGAACUGCAAAGUCCAUUCUACCUUCUGAUUAUCAGCACUAUUUCUUUCUUUCAAAGCAAUCCCAUCAGUAGAGACUGUCUGAAAUAUAUAGGGCUACGCACAUUAUGAAUAGCUUAAAUAACCCUGC